UCAGUCGACUCCUACGGGGAGGCAACAGUGGGGAAUAUUGCACAAUGGGGGAAACCCUGAUGCAGCCAUGCCGCGUGUGUGAAGAAGGCCUUCGGGUUGUAAAGCACUUUCAGUAGGGAGGAAGGUAGUGUAGUUAACACCUGCACUAUUUGACGUUACCUACAGAAGAAGCACCGGCUAACUCCGUGCCAGCAGCCGCGGUAAUACGGAGGGUGCGAGCGUUAAUCGGAAUUACUGGGCGUAAAGCGCAUGCAGGCGGCCUGUUAAGUCAGAUGUGAAAGCCCGGGGCUUAACCUCGGAAUUGCAUUUGAAACUGGCAGGCUAGAGUCUUGUAGAGGGGGGUAGGAAUUUCAGGUGUAGCGGUGAAAUGCGUAGAGAUCUGAAGGAAUACCAGUGGCGAAGGCGGCCCCCUGGACAAAGACUGACGCUCAGAUGCGAAAGCGUGGGGAGCAAACAGGAUUAGAUACCCUGGUAG
rnacentral:rRNA from 1 species